GACAGAGGUGCCAAGCGUUAGGCGGAAUCACUGGGCUUAAAGCGUGUGUAGGCGGACUUGUAAGUACCUUGUGAAAUCCCACGGCUCAACCGUGGAACUGCUUGGUAUACUGCUUGUCUUGAGCCACUUAGGGGCUACCGGAACAAAUGGUGGAGCGGUGAAAUGCGUAGAUAUCAGGAGGAACACCGGUGGCGAAGGCGGGUCUCUGGGCCGAUACUGACGCUGAGGAGCGAAAGCGUGGGGAGCGAACAGG
rnacentral:rRNA from 1 species